rnacentral:rRNA from 1 species
GUCUUCUGCCACACCAUCUGAACACUCCUGAUCUAAUCCGGUUCCAGAAGCUAAGUGGUGCCGGGCCUGGCUAAUACUUCCCACGACGUCC